GUGUGUGUGUGUUAGCAGAAUAUUUGUCCCAUGAUGUCAGUGUGAGGAGGACGAACAGUGAACCACACAUGUUGGUCUUUCUGUAGCUGUGAGGACAUCGACAUGAAGCGUUCCCCUAACCUAAACCCGAUUCUAACCUGGACCCUGAAACCAGGUCUGAACCCUGAAGGUGUGAAGACCGGACAAAAUAUUCCUCACUUUCCGAAAUGUCCUCACACCCGAGGUCUAAAACUAAAACUGGUCCUCACACAGACGGACUACCCCACCCCCCCAGCCGGGUUAGUAGGAAACUCAAACCGAGAGCAGCGUUGAUCAGCUCGGAGGAAAAGUAAAGUUGGAGGAAGUUUAACAGUAAAGGAGUCGGUGAAAGUGCGUGGAAAGUAAAAACAGACCGAAACAACGGACGACAGGGAAACAGGCUGAGACUUGGAGCUUUAUUGUGAAAUCCUAUUCUCUCAUCCCUUCUAGUUUCACCACAGAGCAGAACAUUUCCCAGUUUGCUCCACUGCUUUAUUCUUUUUAACUCUAUCUCAGACCAUCGUUGCACAGACGACUCUCAGCCCGACCCUCUGCGGGUCGUUUCGGGGGUUUGCCGAAAACUCCGAUGCUGCCUCAGACGCCCGUUAAACCAGAACUGUGGGUCGUAAUAAGCUGCAGCCCAGACGAGCCGUGGGGUCUUUUUUCAUGGGGGGGCCCUCUCCGUCAUUGGGUGUUUCUGCCGCGGUAAGGCUAGGCUCUCCCGUGUUUUCCCAUGGUUCCCACGGUGUCUUCAUGUUUGUUCCCAGUUUGUGUCUUUACCUGUCUGAGUGUGAGUGUUCGUCUUGCUGGGCGUGGUGAUCCGGUCCUCCUCCUACGCACCUGAAGCUCAUCCCGUGAUCGGCUCCUGCAGUACGAGAUCCUUCGCUCCAGUCCUCGCCAGAUCCUUCAGUUUGCCGAAGUGGUUCUGACGUUUGGGCCGAACUCUGGCUUCUGGAAGUUUAAGUUUCCCGGUGUUUGCCUGAAGCCUGCCUGAUCAGUUUUUGCCUUUUUCUAGGUCCAUUGUCCCGUGCUGCUCCAGUCUUCUCGCCUCGUCGGGUCCCUCGUCCGUCUGCCCGUCAGCUCCGCAACCACUCCGGCUUUCAGUAAAUCUACCUUUUAGAACUUUGAACAUCUCGUGUCUGACUUCUGCUCCACUGAUGGUCGGAAUCAUCGACGUUUAGGGAACGGCCCUGAACGUUUACUGGGUGAUCGCUGAUCUGCUGAUCAGGACUUGAUAAACAAAACAACUUAAGACUGUUCCUCGUCACGUCCAAGGUGCAGAAUUUUGAACAUGUUAAGUUGCAUGAAAUUUAGUUGUGUUCAAGCUCCUUCUUGACUUUGGAAAUAGCAGUUUGACAAAAUAAUGUUAGCGCUGUUCCCAUUUACUGACUUUAUAGUCUUCGAACCUCGACUCAACUCAAAGACCUUCAAGUUAAAGCGUACGAAUCCUGACAGAAACAAAGAAGGUCAGAGGAAGUGCCGCAGAAACAGAAACAGAAACAGAAACAGAGAAGGAAACAGAGAAGGAAACUACGACAGAGAAUAGAAGAAAAGAAAUUAGAGCAGAAGAUAAAAGCGUUGGUGAGGCUGCAGUGUGACGAUCAUCCUCCUCCUGAUCUGUGAUCAGCUGAGAGUUCAUCAGACCUGAAAACAACGACAGGACUGUUUCUGUCAGACAGAGAACGCAGCACUCAGACGGACGGACGCACGGCGGCCCGGAGGUCUCAGACAGAAAGAGUCACAUGGUGACAGUUUAAUCAGCUGAGGGAGGAAGAAGAGAAACCUUUAUUUAAACACAGUCAGACAGUCCAGGUACGGUCGGGUCCGUAGGUCACACCUGUAGUCCUGUCCUUUAGGUCACAUGGCUGACAGGUAACUCUUCAUCAGAGCUGCAUGGGUCCAGGCUGGAUCCGGGCUUCACCGCACCCACAGACUCGCGGACUUGGACCCGAGGUCUGUCCAAAUCCACGAUUCAUCAAGCCCCCGAGGGGCUGCAAGUGGACUUUCCGUGGACUUCCAGAGUCCACUUAGGAUGCCGACUUCACCAGACGUCACGCGGGGAACUAUCCAUAAUCCACAGGGAUACGGAUGUGACGCUGUAUCUCCUAUAACGACUCUUGACCAGCAGACCUGCACACCUCAUGCGGAAGAACUGUUCAGUUACACACGUCGAAAGGAGUUUCGGGGUCAGAAGUUCAGGUUCAUCUCCAUGGAAACACAUCAGGUCUUCAGGUCCCGUCUCGUUUCGUCGUCCCCCCGUGGUCUGGCAGACUUGACCUGACCUGACAGAAAUAACCGAUCAGCUCUAUGAGUCCGGACUGAGACCGAGCUCGAGCUCACACGUGUUUUUAUUACAACUCUGCUGGUGUUUUAUGGUGCUUCCUGUGUAGCAGCAGAGUUUGAUGGAACGCUGCCGCACCGACCCAGACAAACUGAACCUGCGUCCUCGCUCCGUUUGUCCGACUCGGUCUCAUUUUCUGAAACAAGACAAAUAUAUUCUACUGAUCCACGAAUGAGGAGAAAGAGAGAGAGUAGGUCAGAGUGAUAGAGAGACAAUUAGCCACAGUAGGUCAGCAGAGAGAGAGCGGGAGCAGCUCCACAAUGAGCUCUUUUCAUUCAGACGUGUAAAGGAAAAACUUUCCGUCUGGUUCACCGUUAACCGCCUCUCCUGUUCCAACACAACGAAGACUUUCACAUCUCUGCUCACAUGGAAAAUCUAAACCAGCACACCUUCAACUGGGCUGGUUUUACUUUUCCAUCAGAGUCCUCGGGGACCUGAGCAGACUCUGCUGGAUCACUUCGAAAACCAGAGACAAUAAGCUUCAUUUUCUUGUGUCUUUUGCAGCUUGUUACUGGUUCAAGUGAAGAAGACGACACAAGUACUGGAUCUAUUUCAGCCUCUUCAGCAGCAUCGGGACUCGCUGGAAGCACAAACGUCACUAAUCACAGCUCCUGAGAGCUUCUAGUUUUAUGUGAUAAAACGGAGUUUCUUUUUUAAUUCAUUUAACUGUCUGUGUGUGGAGUCAUCUUUAAUCUCAGUCUGGUUAAAGGAACAGCUCAACAUGCUGAGGAAUACUUUUAUUCAGAGGCGUCCAGGUGGAUCUUAGUCUCUUGCCUGUGUGUUCAGUACAGAGCUGGAGUCAGGACAUGGUUAGCUUAGCUUAGCAUAAAGAGCAUUUGUAGUUUUUGGCGUUUUUUCUUAUAAUGGACUAAAACUGCCCAGAAAUAUCCGACAUGCAGCUACUGUGGAUUCCUUCAAGAGAAGACCGAGCUUUUUAACGCUGCCUCUACGUAGACUCUUCAGAUUAGUUUCAUUGCAUUUUAUUGUUGGUGUGAAAAUUCUUAUUUUGUUGCUUUAGUUUUACGUAAAGUACUUUGAGCUGCGUCUCUGGAGGGAUUUACACAAAUAAUGGCUAUUACUCUUACAGGACUAUUUCUUGACAGACAACAGUGUAUCCAUCCGCCCAGUGCUCUUGUGCAGUGUUAUAACACACUGCUGCCAGAUUCAGUUGGUGGGCUCAGGUUUUGGUUCUGGUCUUCGUACAGGCCCGACGGUUAACUCAGAUCGGUCGAAUAGGCUGAAGGUUAAAUCCACACUAACAGACACGGGGGUCAGAGUCCAGCAGCCACACGGUGCUACGAGCGAGCCCGUCGAGCCGCUCAGACGCUGCUCUGACUCACUUCCUCUUCCUCACAAUGUCCGCAGGAAAAAACGCUCUCAGUGCCGACCGAGGACUUCAGAAUCUGGGAAAGGCUUUGUGCUAAGCUAAGCUAACUACAUCCUGGACCAGUCUCUGUUCUGGACCCAGAGGUGAAACUUCUGAUCUGACACAGUUUGAGUUGAGGUCCAGAAGAAACUAAAACCAUCUAAAGACCAAAAUGCAAACUACCACUACAAAGACGCUGAAGACCUGAAACGGCACCGGUGGUACCCUGAAUCCUGCGAACCGUCAGAUUCUGUGACAGGCUCCGGAUCUUAAAUAUGGUCUCAGGUGGAUCUCUUUCGCCUGAACCUAGACCCUGAUGGGAACCAGACUUCAACACAACACAUUGCGUCAAGACUAAAAUUUAACAUCGGGUCACAGAAUCUGACGGGUCGCAGAAAACAGUGUAACACUGGUGUAAGGCCAGAAACCAGAUGGGGUUUUCUUCAAUCAAAACCUACGUGUCGGUUAAUUCAGUAUCUCAAACUUGUGAUCAAACUUGACUCAGUUGUCACCAUCACUGCUGCUCAAACACUACAUGUAGAACUAGUGACGCUUUUUACACAAAAAUGUCAAAUAUUUGCUACUUGAUGCUUCUCUUUUUUGUACCUGAUAAAAACUGGUUAUUGUGGUUUCUGACUGUUGAUCCGACAAAACGAGAAA